GGAUUGUGGCUCAGCGGUAGAGCACUCGCCUAGCGUGGGUGGGACCUGGGUUUGAUUCUCAGCACCA
rnacentral:tRNA from 1 species